rnacentral:rRNA from 1 species
UACGUAGGUGGCAAGCGUUGUCCGGAAUUAUUGGGCGUAAAGCGUGCGCAGGCGGUUUUGUAAGCCAGAUGUGAAAUCCCCGGGCUUAACCUGGGAAUGGCAUUUGGGACUGCAAGGCUGGAGUUUGGCAGAGGAGACUGGAAUUCCCGGUGUAGCAGUGAAAUGCGUAGAUAUCGGGAGGAAUACCGAUGGCGAAGGCAGGUCUCUGGGCUAUAACUGACGCUCAUGCACGAAAGCGUGGGGAGCAAACAGG